CAAGUAAUUAAGUGCAUGUGGUGGAUGCCUUGGCAGUCAGAGGCGAUGAAAGACGUGAUAGCCUGCGAAAAGCUCCGGGGAGGCGGCAAAUAUCCUUUGAUCCGGAGAUGUCUGAAUGGGGGAACCCACCUACUUUAAGGUAGGUAUUGCAACAUGAAUACAUAGUGUUGCAAGGCGAACGAGGGGAAGUGAAACAUCUCAGUACCCUUAGGAAAAGAAAUCAAUUGAGAUUCCCUCAGUAGCGGCGAGCGAACGGGGAUCAGCCCAUUAAGUUAUGUGUGUUUUAGUGGAACGCUCUGGGAAGUGCGAACGUAGAGGGUGAUAUUCCCGUACACGAAAGGGCACACAUAAUGAUGACGAGUAGGGCGAGGCACGUGAAACCUUGUCUGAAUAUGGGGGGACCAUCCUCCAAGGCUAAAUACUCCUGACUGACCGAUAGUGAACCAGUACCGUGAGGGAAAGGCGAAAAGAACCCCUGUGAGGGGAGUGAAAUAGAUCCUGAAACCGCAUGCAUACAAGCAGUGGGAGCACCUUCGUGGUGUGACUGCGUACCUUUUGUAUAAUGGGUCAGCGACUUAUAUUCAGUAGCGAGGUUAACCGUAUAGGGGAGCCGUAGAGAAAUCGAGUCUUAAUAGGGCGUUUAGUUGCUGGGUAUAGACCCGAAACCAGGCGAUCUAUCCAUGAGCAGGUUGAAGGUUGGGUAACACUAACUGGAGGACCGAACCCACUGUCGUUGAAAAGCCAGGGGAUGACUUGUGGAUAGGGGUGAAAGGCUAAUCAAGCCUGGUGAUAGCUGGUUCUCCCCGAAAGCUAUUUAGGUAGCGCCUCGGACGAAUACCAUAGGGGGUAGAGCACUGUUUCGGCUAGGGGGUCAUCCCGACUUACCAAACCGAUGCAAACUCCGAAUACCUAUGAGUACUAUCCGGGAGACAGACUGCGGGUGCUAACGUCCGUAGUCAAGAGGAAAACAAUCCAGACCGCCAGCUAAGGCCCCAAAAUCAUAGUUAAGUGGGAAACGAUGUGGGAAGGCAUAGACAGCUAGGAGGUUGGCUUAGAAGCAGCCACCCUUUAAAGAAAGCGUAAUAGCUCACUAGUCGAGUCGGCCUGCGCGGAAGAUGUAACGGGGCUAAAACUAUGUGCCGAAGCUGCGGAUGUAUACUUUGUAUACGUGGUAGGGGAGCGUUCUGUAAGCCGAUGAAGGUGUGUUGAGAAGCAUGCUGGAGGUAUCAGAAGUGCGAAUGCUGACGUGAGUAACGACAAAACGGGUGAAAAACCCGUUCGCCGAAAGACCAAGGGUUCCAGUCCAACGUUAAUCGGGGCUGGGUGAGUCGACCCCUAAGGCGAGGCCGAAAGGCGUAGUCGAUGGGAAAAUGGUUAAUAUUCCAUUACUUCUGUGUAAUGCGAUGAGAGGACGGAGAAGGCUAAAUCAGCCUGGCGUUGGUUGUCCAGGUGAAAGGAUGUAGGCAUGUAUCUUAGGCAAAUCCGGGGUACUCUAUGCUGAGAUCUGAUAGCAAGCUGUACUUGUACAGCGAAGUGGUUGAUGCCAUGCUUCCAGGAAAAGUCUCUAAGCUUCAGUUACACAGGAAUCGUACCCGAAACCGACACAGGUGGUCAGGUCGAGUAGACCAAGGCGCUUGAGAGAACUCUGCUGAAGGAACUAGGCAAAAUGGUACCGUAACUUCGGGAGAAGGUACGCUGUUGUUGGUGAUGGAACUCGCUUCCUGAGCUGACGACAGCCGCAGAAACCAGGCCGCUGCAACUGUUUAUUAAAAACAUAGCACUCUGCAAACACGAAAGUGGACGUAUAGGGUGUGAUGCCUGCCCGGUGCUGGAAGGUUAAUUGAUGGGGUUAGCGUAAGCGAAGCUCUUGAUCGAAGCCCCAGUAAACGGCGGCCGUAACUAUAACGGUCCUAAGGUAGCGAAAUUCCUUGUCGGGUAAGUUCCGACCUGCACGAAUGGCAUAAUGAUGGCGGCGCUGUCUCCAGCAGAGGCUCAGUGAAAUCGAAAUCGCUGUGAAGAUGCAGUGUACCCGCGGCUAGACGGAAAGACCCCGUGAACCUUUACUGCAGCUUGACACUGAACUUUGACCUUACUUGUGUAGGAUAGGUGGGAGGCUUUGAAGCUGGAACGCUAGUUCCAGUGGAGCCGUCCUUGAAAUACCACCCUGGUAAUGUUGAGGUUCUAACUCUGUCCCGUGAUCCGGGACGAGGACCGUGUCUGGUGGGUAGUUUGACUGGGGCGGUCUCCUCCUAAAGAGUAACGGAGGAGUACGAAGGUGCGCUCAGCGUGGUCGGAAAUCACGCGUAGAGUAUAAAGGCAAAAGCGCGCUUAACUGCGAGACCCACAAGUCGAGCAGGUACGAAAGUAGGUCUUAGUGAUCCGGUGGUUCUGUAUGGAAGGGCCAUCGCUCAACGGAUAAAAGGUACUCUGGGGAUAACAGGCUGAUACCGCCCAAGAGUUCAUAUCGACGGCGGUGUUUGGCACCUCGAUGUCGGCUCAUCUCAUCCUGGGGCUGAAGCAGGUCCCAAGGGUAUGGCUGUUCGCCAUUUAAAGAGGUACGCGAGCUGGGUUUAGAACGUCGUGAGACAGUUCGGUCCCUAUCUACCGUGGGCGCUGGAAAUUUGAGAGGAUCUGCUCCUAGUACGAUAGGACCAGAGUGGACGAACCUCUGGUGUACCGGUUGUGACGCCAGUCGCAUCGCCGGGUAGCUAUGUUCGGAAGGGAUAACCGCUGAAAGCAUCUAAGCGGGAAGCCUACCUCAAGAUAAGAUUUCCCUAGGACUUUAUGUCCUCUAAAGAGCCGUUCGAGACUAGGACGUUGAUAGGUUGGAUGUGGAAGCAUAGUGAUAUGUGAAGCUGACCAAUACUAAUUGCUCGUGAGGCUUGACUA
rnacentral:rRNA from 1 species